CCUACGGGAGGCUGCAGUCGAGAAUCAUUCACAAUGGGGGAAACCCUGAUGGUGCGACGCCGCGUGGGGGAAUGAAGGUCUUCGGAUUGUAAACCCCUGUCAUGUGGGAGCAAAUUAGAAAGAUAGUACCACAAGAGGAAGAGACGGCUAACUCUGUGCCAGCAGCCGCGGUAAUACAGAGGUCUCAAGCGUUGUUCGGAAUCACUGGGCGUAAAGCGUGCGUAGGCUGUUUCGUAAGUCGUGUGUGAAAGGCGCGGGCUCAACCCGCGGACGGCACAUGAUACUGCGAGACGAGAGUAAGGGAGUGGGAACCGGAAUGCUCGGUGUAGCAGUGAAAUGCGUAGAUAUCGAGAGGAACACUCGUGGCGAAGGCGGGUUCCUGGACAUUAACUGACGCUGAGGCACGAAGGCCAGGGGAGCGAAAGGGAUUAGAUACCCGUGUAGUC
rnacentral:rRNA from 1 species